UUUCAGUAAAAGACGCUGCGCUUGUCUAUGAUAACCUCGUGCCAAUCGCACAUCCCACUGACGGCGACAACACAUUCGGAUGUCUUCCCUAUCAUCUUUCGAUGCAAUUUUCCACGCCUACCAUGGUAACCAUGGGUAACAGGGAAUCAGGGUUCGAUUCUAAAGAGGGAGCCUGAGAAACGGCUACCACAUGCAACGAAAGGCAGCAGGUGCGCAAAUUAUCCACUUCCAAUGCGGGGAGGUAAUGACAA